rnacentral:rRNA from 1 species
UACGUAGGGGGCGAGCGUUGUCCGGAUUUAUUGGGCGUAAAGGGCGCGUAGGCGGAAAGAUAAGUCAGAUGUGAAAUCCCGGGGCUCAACCCCGGAACAGCAUUUGAAACUGUCUUUCUUGAGGGUAGAUGGAGAAAACGGAAUUCCACAAGUAGCGGUGAAAUGCGUAGAUAUGUGGAAGAACAUCAGUGGCGAAGGCGGUUUUCUAAUUUAUACCUGACGCUGAGGCGCGAAAGUAAGGGGAUCAAACAGG